rnacentral:rRNA from 1 species
GACGAACGCUGGCGGCGUGCCUAAUACAUGCCAGUAGGACGCAGUUGCGAACGGGUGAGUAACGCGUCGGUAACUGCCUAUUAGAGGGGGAUAACUAUUGGCAACGAUAGCUAAUACCGCAUACUAGUAGAUGGACCUGCGUUGUCUUAGCUAGUAGGUAGGGUAAUGGACUACCUAGGCAACGAUACAUAGCCGACCUGAGAUGUUGGUCGGCCACACUGGGACUGAGACACGGCCCAUACGCCGACUGGAGGCAGCAGAAGGGAAUCUUCGGGAAUUGGGGGAACCCUUACCGAGCAACGCCGCGUGAGUGAAGAAGGUUUUCGGAUCGUAAAGCUCUGUUGUUAAGGAAGCGGUACUUAACCAGAAAGGGACGGCUAACUACGUGCCAGCAGCCGCGGUAAUAC